AGAAGCUCCUCCCCCAAGGCUCCCAGAGGAAGAGCGGGCGUCUAGCAACCAGGCAGUCGCUCGCCAGGCAUCUGAGGCUGCUCCCGGGUCGCUGGAAUGUCGGCACGCCUCCCGCCCGCAGCCGCCUUCCCUUGUGGGUGGGGAAAGCGCCCGGACAGCUACAGGCGAUGGCGAAGACUUGGGGGGUACUGAAGUCACAAUACAGUAAUCUGGAGCUCCUACUGCUCCCUCCUCCUGCCCCCGAGAGCAACGCGUGUGGACGCCAGGAAAAACAAACACGUGGUGCCUGUGGUGCGUUUUAAUUCCUUUCUCUCUCCAGCCCUUAGCGGAGUUGCUUUCCAGGACUUUUUGAGUCAUGAUAAACCGAUCGCUGUCUUGAAUUUUCGGAAACACUUUCCACUCGACGCAGCAGUAAUAGCCCUGUUCUGACACAAAUGAGGUUUUAUGAAAUAUCCCAGGCCGGACCUUUCCUCUCUGAAGCUUUCAUUUUAAUACUUCCGUCGUAUCCGCCCAAUCUUGGAAUUAACACUAGAAAGGGUUACAACAACUUGUUAAACGGUGGGGGAGGUUAACAGUCUGCGCUCCAUUGCUUCUUCUACAGCUCUAUUUGCUCACAGGCACGGAAGUUGUGGCCGAAUUUUAGAAGUUCCGAUUCUGCAAUUCCAAAUUAUAUUAGCCCCUAAACAUAUUGGAAUGGGACUCUUGAUUUUUUUUUUAAUGACUUCUAAUUCACAGAAGCUCAUGGAUGCUGUUAAAACUGAUAAGUCUUUCACGGAAAUAGGAGGAAAACAUAAAACAAGGAUGUACAGUGAAAUCCUGCAAAUGUCUGUUCAAAUGUCUAAGCAAUUCAGAAUGUGGAAGGAUGCACAACAAUCUGAUGUCCUCCAGAUAAUCCUGUAACUCCCAGGAUUCCCAGCCAGCAUGGCUUUGGGGAACAUUUUUAUAGCCUCUUAAGAGAUGUCCCUCUGGAAUUAAAUACUGUUAGCAUGUCCAAUACUGAAAUAGUGGCACAGUUGGUGACAAUGGGAGAAUACUGUAGGGAAAACAGUGGGUCUCAUUUUUUUUUAUUUUAAUUGCUAUUUUCAGCUGUGUAAUCUUGGUUAUAAUCUUUAAUUAUUCUGCAAAUAAUAUACAGACUUUGGUUAUUGUACACAUAGCUAUUAACUAUGCUUGCAUGAUGUACCAUUCCUCUGUAUUAGAUUAAUAGGACUGUGUGAACCUUAUUUAUCCCACCACAUGAGGCCUUUUGCCAAGUUCAGAAGCCUACCUGACAUGGAUGAACAGAGAGCAGACCUGCACAAGGAGAUCAAGAUUCAAAUUGUCACCUAGCUCCAAAUCACAGCUUGCUAUGAUGUUGGCUGCCACAAGAUUACCCUUCAAAGGGACAAAACUCUGUAGAGAACCUGAAUUUGAAUGAAGUUCCUAGCUGUCUGCUUUGCUCCAGAGAUAAAUGCUCAAGAAGAGAGGAACUGAAAAGGAUGAGCAAGAAAGACCUGCUUAGCACCAGCCAAUCAGGAAUCUAACUGAUCUCUUUCCAGCUAUUCCCUCUACAAUAACCUUUGAGCAUGUGCUGAAGCAAUGCAGGGAAUAAGUACCUUGCUUAGUUAGCCUGGCUAUUUUAAUAUUUGCAACUCUGGGUAUGACUGUUGCCUUUCAUUGUUUUACUGCAUCCCCCUUUUCCCAAUAAUUUCUAGAGAUUUGGCUUCAUUGAUUUUCUAAGGGAAUUUCUCAUUAAA